rnacentral:misc_RNA from 1 species
AAAUGCGAUAAGUAGUGUGAAUUGCAGAAUUCAGUGAAUCAUCGAAUCUUUGAACGCACAUUGCGCCCUUUGGUAUUCCUUAGGGCAUGCCUGUUCGAGCGUCAUCUAAACCCUCAAGCCCUGCUUGGUGUUGGGUGCCUGUCCCGCCCCCGUGCGUGGACUCACCUCAAAUCCAUUGGCGGCCCUCGUGCCGGCCCCGAGCGCAGCAGAAACGCGGUCUCGUGGCCCGGCGGAGCGUGCCCCCAGAAGCAACAUUCACCGUUUUGACCUCGGAUCAGGUAGGGAUACCCGCUGAACUUAAGC